GCUCAGGUGGUUUGAGUACCGGUCUUAGGAGGAAAAAGCUAGGAGAAAUCAGAGUUCAAGCCUGAACAUUAGGCACAAUAAACAAACAAACAAAUAAAAUAAAAUAAAAAUCACAUGGUAGCAGCAUCACUUAAUCGUUUUAGUCAAGAAAGCUACCUACUACUUUACAGACUUCAAGCAUGGGAAACAUUAGGAAUGUAAUGCUUUUAUUCUCUUUUUGUCAAAGACAUUCAUUUACCUAUUCAUGCAAAUACAUACCAAGUCCCUAAUAUUGUGACAGAUACCGUGCUAGCAACUGAGGAUAUAGUGAUAAAUCAAACAGAACUGCCCUUGAUCUCACAGACUUAUGAUCUACUGGAAAGAAAGGUGUCAUAAAAAAAACACACACUACUAAAUGUCAGAAGGCAGUUGUGUUAAGCUAAAACUUAAAGCAAGUGGUAGUGGAGUUUGCAAGGGAUGGGUAAUGAGGAGGAGGGUGGAAUUUUAAACAGAAGACAGACAGCCUGGAGGAUUUGAAUUGUAUGCAUUUUUUUUCUAAGUGCAAUGGAAAGUGAUUAAUAAGCAGGGCAGACAUGGGAUCAGAUUUCUGUUCUAAAAGGCAUGAAUGAAGAGCAAGAAAUGGGAACAUGUGGAUUAUGGAGAUGGGAAGAAAUGAAGAUGAGCUUGUGAUAUAGUUUGGAGAUGAAUGAGUUGUGAGCAUCAAGGAUGACCCUGGCGGCUGGAGCAAGUGACAAAGCAAGGUGUUAUACUACAGCAAAAGGAGCAACUGGAGGCAUGGGCUUAGCUGACAAGUAGAGGAUCAAAAAGAAUCAUUUUGAAGAAAAGGUAAAUCGUUAAAGAUGCCUGGAGACCUCCAUAUGCAAAUGUCAUGGGAGCAUGAAACAAAUAUGUGAUCUACAUGCCAUUUUGCCCUUGAGAUCUAAUGCAUUAGCUUAAGUCUGCCUGGCUCCCUUUGAAGGAGUUGCUACUCCUGUCUGUCUCAUCUGUGGGCCCAGCCCAUCCUCCUGUCAAGAAGCAGCACAUGGGAUGGGAAUGCAGGUUGUCUCUAAGAACCAUGGGCAAUGGUCCUUCUCAACUACAGCAAAUUAUAUACAAUAUUAUAUGUAUUAUGAAUUUCCUAUUUCUUAUAAGUUAUAUAGAAAUGUUAAAAUAUAUAACUUAUAUUAUGAAUAUAAUUUUAAUGAUUUGUAAUUUUAAUAUAAAAAAGGCAAAUACAGUUGCUAAAGGUUUUGUCUCUCUUAUAUGCUGGAGAUUGAGACCAGGGCUUCAUGCAUGAUACAUACAUUCUAUCACCAAGGCUUAUUCCUUGUCCCAUUUCUAAGAUUUUACAUGCUGAUAUUUUGUCACUUCAUAUGUGUCUUAUAAGAAAAAAAAGUCUUAAAUGUACAAGUCUUUUUUUUAGGAUAGAGCCUAGAUUAUUAAGUGUGCUCAUCUACCAUUCCUUGGAUAGAUAAUGUAAAUCAUUAAUUUUCUAAUCACAUUUUGACCAACUAAUGCUAUUUUGAAAAUUACAAUAUGGUUCAAAAUCACUGGUUACAAAAGACCCCAAACCUAAUAAUCCCUAAUUUGAUUUGGUUUCACUUUUGGCUUUUUUAAAAUACUGGGGUUUGAACUAAUGACCUGUACUUGUUAGGCAGAUGUUCUACCUUUUGAGCUAUACUAUCACACACACACACACACACCCAAAAAAUGAUGAAUUACCAUGAUUCCAAAUCUUUUGUUUGUUGAAAAGUUCCACUGAUCUAAAUAAGCAAAAACUGCAGAAGCAGCCUUGUUGAACUUGAUUUCUGGCAGGGUAACAUUUAACACCAGGGUGAUUGCCAAAUUAAAAGAUGACAUCAUCCACAUCUGCUGAUUCAUGGGGAAGGGGGAAAAUGGGAGGAAGCGGAGAGAGAUGGGCGAGUCAUGAUUACCUUUUGCUGGAAAGUAGACUACUGAGUAGACAAUUACAUGACAACUGCAUGAAAAGCGCUGGUAGCCAGUGAAAAAUGGAGAAGAGGGGCUUGGAGAACCGCUAUCUGAGGAGACACUGCACUUACUAGAUGGACAAAUCAAAGGCAAGGUUCUAUCUAUCCAGGGAAACUGAGGACAUCGUCCCUUCCUUUGUUCUGAGUACUUGUUUUUCAUGUCUAAAUUCACUCACAAUCAUUAAUUUCUCAAUCACACUUUCCCAAAAUAUACUAAAAAUCAUCCUAAAGCCAUUUUAAAAAUAAUGCCUGCUAUUGUAGACAUAUUAUUACUAUUUCAUACCUCUGUGAAUGUAAAAUACCUUGUACUUGGUGUUAUGAUACAUAGUAGUGAGUGACGGUGCUUUAUCAGAGCUGCUUUUAAUGAUGUUGUGUUAUUCAGGAAUGUUUUCUUUUCAGGUAAUGAGUGAGAAGCUAAUAAAAAAUGGUACUAGGUACCACAACAGUAACAGAACUUCUCAUUUUUCUGGUGCAUUUGUCCUUAAACUUGUGUUUUUUCAUUAAUGGUAUGUGCUGGAUGCCUCUAAUUUUGUCCAGAUGACUGGCAGGACCUGGAAAAGCUGUUGCUACUAUUGAUGCAUACCAAAUUGCUAUUGUUGGUCUUUUAAUAUGAAUAUAAAUAUAUACAUAUAAUUUGAAUUUUUGGAAAUUUUAGGUGUGUGGUCAACUUUGGAAAAAGUAUCCCAGUUUACUGUGUUGAGUUGUACAGAACUUAAUAACCAUAUUGGCCUAGAAAUGUUCAAUUUAACUUUUUCCAUUUUUACAGGGGCAAACUCACUGUAUUAAAUAUGUAAAGUUUUAUUUACAGGUUUGAUUACAGAAACUAAUCAAAUAUUCUCUAACAUUUUAAACAGCCAAUACAAGUAUGUGAGCACAAUUUGUGUGUGUGUAUAUAUGUGCUUAAUAGCAUUACCUGUAAGUUUUGACUAUGAGCUUAAAUAUAAGUAUUAAUAUGCCUAGGGUAUCAAGUUAUAAUGAAUUAAAUAUUUAGUCAUGAGCCAUGCCCAUUUUUACAGAUCUAAGUCUCUAAAGGAAAGAAUGAAAACAAAAAAAAAAUGUUGUCAGUUACUGCAAAUGAAACAUUUAUUCAGUAAUUACCUUCUCAGUACCUGAUAUGUGUAAGCAAACAUGUCAGACAUGGUAGGUAAGGUAAUCAACUGCUGAGCCAAAAUUCAGACAGUUUGAGAGUAUGAAUGGACCCAUAGAGAUAAUUACUAAUGAUAGUGCUAAUAACAGCUAAUAAUAUUAACUUUUAUUGUGAUUAUCAUGUGAAUGGUUCUCAACUAAAUACUUUUAAGCAUUAUUUUUAAUUGUGGUAUAAUAUACAUAAAAUUUACCAUCUUAACUGAUUUUUUGUGCACAAAUCAGUUAAGCACAUUCACUCUUACCUACCAUUCCUAUCAGCCAUGAUCAUCCCAAACUCAAACUCUGCAGCCAUUAGACAACAACUCUCCAGACAACCACCACUCUACUAGAAGAUUAUGACUUCCUAAGGAUAGCCAACAAUACAUUUCUUCUAUUUGAAUGUAAGGCUUCUUUUUCAACUAAGACACUAAAAU